AUUGAACGCUGGCGGCAUGCUUUCCACAUGCAAGUCGAACGGUAACAGGGUGCUUGCACCGCUGACGAGUGGCGAACGGGUGAGUAAUGCGUCGGAACGUGCCGAGUAGUGGGGGAUAACGCAGCGAAAGUUGUGCUAAUACCGCAUACGUACUGAGGUAGAAAGUGGGGGACCUUCGGGCCUCACGCUAUUCGAGCGGCCGACGUCUGAUUAGCUAGUAGGUGAGGUAAAGGCUCACCUAGGCGACGAUCAGUAGCGGGUCUGAGAGGAUGAUCCGCCACACUGGGACUGAGACACGGCCCAGACUCCUACGGGAGGCAGCAGUGGGGAAUUUUGGACAAUGGGCGAAAGCCUGAUCCAGCCAUGCCGCGUGUCUGAAGAAGGCCUUCGGGUUGUAAAGGACUUUUGUCAGGGAGGAAAUCCCUAGUGCUAAUAACACUGGGGGACGACAGUACCUGAAGAAUAAGCACCGGCUAACUACGUGCCAGCCGCCGCAGUAACAC
rnacentral:rRNA from 1 species